rnacentral:rRNA from 1 species
AUUGAACGCUGGCGGCAGGCCUAACACAUGCAAGUCGAGCGGCAGCGGGAAAGUAGCUUGCUACUUUUGCCGGCGAGCGGCGGACGGGUGAGUAAUGCCUGGGGAUCUGCCCAGUCGAGGGGGAUAACUACUGGAAACGGUAGCUAAUACCGCAUACACCCUACGGGGGAAAGCAGGGGACCUUCGGGCGUUGCGCGAUUGGAUGAACCCAGGUGGGAUUAGCUAGUUGGUGAGGUAAUGGCUCACCAAGGCGACGAUCCCUAGCUGGUCUGAGAGGAUGAUCAGCCACACUGGAACUGAGACACGGUCCAGACUCCUACGGGAGGCAGCAGUGGGGAAUAUUGCACAAUGGGGGAAACCCUGAUGCAGCCAUGCCGCGUGUGUGAAGAAGGCCUUCGGGUUGUAAAGCACUUUCAGCGAGGAGGAAAGGUUGGUAGCUAAUAACUGCCAGCUGUGACGUUACUCGCAGAAGAAGCACCGGCUAACUCCGUGCCAGCCGCCGCAGUAACAC